rnacentral:rRNA from 1 species
GACGAACGCUGGCGGCGUGCUUAACACAUGCAAGUCGAACGGUAAGGCCCUUCGGGGUACACGAGUGGCGAACGGGUGAGUAACACGUGGGUGAUCUACCCUGCACUUCGGGAUAAGCCUGGGAAACUGGGUCUAAUACCGGAUAGGACCACUGCCUGCAUGGGUGGUGGUGGAAAGCUUUUGCGGUGGGGGAUGGGCCCGCGGCCGAUCAGCUUGUUGGUGGGGGGAUGGCCUACCAAGGCGACGACGGGUAGCCGGCCUGAGAGGGUGACCGGCCACACUGGGACUGAGAUACGGCCCAGACUCCCACGGGAGGCAGCAGUGGGGAAUAUUGCACAAUGGGCGCAAGCCUGAUGCAGCGACGCCGCGUGAGGGAUGACGGCCUUCGGGUUGUAAACCUCUUUCAGCACCGACGAAGCGCAAGUGACGGUAGGUGCAGAAGAAGGACCGGCCAACUACGUGCCAGCCGCCGCAGUAA